AAGCGGAGGAAAAGAAACCAACAGGGAUUGCCUCAGUAACGGCGAGUGAAGCGGCAAGAGCUCAACUUUGGAAUCGCUCCGGCGAGUUGUAGUCUGGAGGCGGCCGGUCCGCCUUGCGCAACCAAAUCUAAGUCCUCUGGAACGAGGCGCUUGAAAGGGUGACAGCCCCGUGGAUUUUUGUUGUUGUGCUUGGCCCCUGGUCUGCCGACGAGUCGAGUUGUUUGGGAAUGCAGCUCUAAGUGGGUGGUAAAUUCCAUCUAAAGCUAAAUACCGGCGAGAGACCGAUAGCGAACAAGUACAGUAAUGGAAAGAUGAAAAGCACUUUGAAAAGAGAGUGAAACAGUACGUGAAAUUGUUGAAAGGGAAGGGCUUGCAGCUAGACAACUGUCAGCAUCGGGUGGAGCGGAACUAAAAGUGGGAGCUGAUGUAGCAACCCCCCCGGGGUUGCAUUAUACAACUCUCAGAUGGUUCCUGCUUCGCCCGAGGAUCGCCUAUUUGAAGGAUGCUGGCGCAAUGUCUGCAAGCCACCC
rnacentral:rRNA from 2 species